GACGAACCGUGCGAACGUUGUUCGGAAUCACUGGGCUUAAAGGGCGCGUAGGUGGCCCGCCGCGUCCGGGGUGAAAUCCUCCCGCUCAACGGGAGAACGGCCUCGGAUACGGGCGGGCUGGAGGGGGGUAGGGGCAGGCGGAACUGUGGGUGGAGCGGUGAAAUGCGUUGAGAUCCACAGGAACUCCGGUGGCGAAGGCGGCCUGCUGGACCCCAUCUGACGCUGAGGCGCGAAAGCCAGGGGAGCGAACGGG
rnacentral:rRNA from 1 species